rnacentral:miRNA from 1 species
UUCCCUUUGUCAUCCUUUGCCUCGG